UCUCGAGAGGAAACGUUCGCGGAGCGUAGUCGUAGUUGUCGAACGGUUUCGAAUGUUUAUAUUGUGACGGGGACGGACGGAUUCGACAGUGGGCUAAUCGCGACGCGAGCAGUUCCUUCGGGAUAACUUGUGAUCUAUUUUGGCCGUUGAAAGGCGUGCGGGAACACGUUCGAGGCGGGUUUCUCGAACCGCAGUGCUUUAGUCCGGCUAGUCUCUCCGCUUCGUGCAGAACUUCGCCGAUCCCGGAAUAGUUUUCGACGGUUGCUCGGUUGAAGUUUUUCGCGUGGCCGUCGUACAGGCCAAUCCGCAGUCGUGUUCACCGUCCCUCGACGUACAUAACCAAAAAACCGUCGCGUGUGAACCGGACGUCCGUGUUGAUCGAUUUCCAUCGAACGAUUCGCGCGAUCGUUCACCCUGGAGGCUGAUACGGAGAACACGAGGAUGGAUGCCACGGACGUCCUCGCUCCUGACGCUACGUCAGGAAACGACGACGGGGCUGUCUUUAGUCACAACAACAACAACAACGAGGAUGAGGAUGCAGCCACCGUGGAGGAGACGUACGAAGUCACCACCACGAAGCGUAAGACCAUCCGGACCAGCUACAAAAUCCAAGAAACUUCUGCAUCAACCAAAACAACCACCAUGACUACUGCAGCUAAGUUGUAUGGCAAGGAUUUGAGUGAAUACGAUGAUGUUGAUGUGGAUGAAUUAUUGGCACAACUUACUCCAGAGGAGAUUAAUAUGUUAGCCAAGGAAGUGGAUCCUGAUGACAGCUUUAUGCCACCAUCACAACGUUGUAGUUACGAAUGUGACAAGAGUCCAACAGGACCACUAAACCGUAAGAAACUAAUUGAACACAUCAAUAAACAGGCUUUAGAGACACCAGACAUACCAGAAUUAAAGCCUUAUGUACCUGGUGUUAUUAGAGGCAAGAAGUGGGUUCCACCUCCUCAAGAAACAGUCAAAGAAAAAGAAGCAGAAGAGCAAAUUGCUAUUGAUCUUGGAGAAGAAUAUGAGCAAGCUCUGUCAAAUGCUACUCAAGAAGAAAUCAUUGAUCUUGCUGCUAUUCUUGGGUUCCAUUCUAUGAUGAAUCAAGACCAGUAUCAUGCCUCUCUAUUAAAUUCUGGCCAGCCAGUUGGUCUGGGUUGGGAUGGAAUUACGAAAGCUAGUCAACCAAAACCUUACCCAAUGGAACCACCUAAUGAUACCGACAUCGAUGCCACUAUCAAACAAGUUCGAGAAGAUGAUGCCUCGUUGACUGAAUUAAAUUGGAAUAACAUUAAAAAUAUAUCCGACGAAAAAUUCGUUCAGUUAUUCGAAGGACUAGAGAUGAAUACACAUCUCGAAUCUUUAAGUUUAACGAACGUGGGACUCACCGAUAAGACUGCACAAAGGUUGGCAGAAGCCUUAGAGAAGAAUUCUACUCUCAGAGUACUCAAUGUGGAAACAAACUUUAUAAGCCCAUCUGUGAUAGUGAGGCUCAUCAGGGCGUUACUUAAAACGAAAUCAAUAGAAGAAUUUCGAUGUUCGAAUCAGAGGUCACAGGUGUUGGGAAAUAAAAUUGAAAUGGAAAUUACGCAAUUGGUAGAAGAAAACCCAACGUUGCUACGACUUGGUCUACAUUUGGAGUUCAACGAUGCUAGACAUCGUGUGGCUGCACAUCUGCAACGCAACAUUGAUAGGAUACGGAAAGACCUAACGCUGCGGCUACAGUUCCGAUUCUUUAACAUGAACCACAGGAAACGUGCCUUGAUUCAAUGAAAGUACGGCAGUCCCGGCUCGGGGUGGCGACAUCUUAACGCGAAGUGGCGUUCGCCUAGAUUUCUACAGCCUAUAAUUGGCACGGUGAUUAUGAACUUUCGGUUGGCAGUGUAGAAUGCUUUUUAUCAGCGUGCGUGCUACCAAGUUAACCGGUCGAUGUCGAGAUUACAACGAGGAAGUUAAACGCAUGCAAGUUGUAUCGCGACGGGGGCCACGUGUUACACCAUAUAAUAGUCGUCUACAACGCAUGGGAAGAGCACCUCGCAACUAUACCAUCGGCUGGGCCAUGAAACGAUGAUCGCCUCUGUCCACGACCUCGAAAAUGAUGACGACCAUGACCUCGACAACGACCAUGAUGCCCGAAUGACCUGUAGUCAUUUUAAUUUAAUCAUCGAGAGUAAGAUAGAAAAAGGGUGCAAAGAACAAUUCGUCGUUUGAAAAUUGACAUUUUGAUUUAUUAUAAUUUGACUUAAUUAAAAUAUUUAUUCUGGGUCAUAUUGAUCCAAGAGGGAUAGUAAGGUCGAAGUAUUUAUUGAAAUUAUUGAAAAUUAAAAAAAGGUUCAUAUUUCUUUCACAGUGAUCGAACAUUAUCGAUUACUUUCCCGCGUUUUCGCGACAGGGGUUCCGCGGUUUUGGUUUCAAAAGCAGCCUCGCCGUUCCGCUGUCGCUUCCGGUUUCCCUUCCCAGCGCAUUCAGACGUCCCGGAAGUGUCUCGUUUUCCCAACCGGAUGCCACGGAACCCGCUGAAUCGCACCUGACCACUUCCGGCCGUGCGACCAGAGCCGGGGUACCCCUUCGCAGGUCAGUGCUCUUGAAACGUCGUUCCCGGACUUCGAUCGUCUCGUUUUUCAAUUUUUAUUCCCCGUAGACGGGGGUUUCGUCAAAAUUUCUUCGUCAAUUCCGGCAUUCGAUAAAUCGUGCUGGAAAAUCGCUCGCUUUUUCCUAUUUUAUUGGAAACGAACGUUUGACACGAAAAGUUAUUGCACCCUUUUUCCAAUUUUUUUUUUUUUUUCACCUUCGAUUGGAAUCAAUUCCAUUCUUUUUAACUAUUUGACGCUUGUACGAAGCAAAAAUGAAGGGCUGGUGCCUUGACAUUUUAACGCUAGAACAACCAAGUUAGCAAUUAUUUAUUUUAACACUGUAACUACCAUGUCAUAGGAAUUAAUAACAAUUAUUCCAGAUAAUAUUUUUAUUCUUAAUACAUUUUCACGGUCCAUAUUUUCCUACAUAUUACGAAUAUUUCCAAUUGGGAUUCUACGAUUUUCGGUUGGCGGACCAUGGAGAGAGCCCCAAUUUUAAUUUCAUUUCAUAUCUCAUGUUAUCUUCACUUUUUAAAUUUUACACUGUUCCUUUAAAAAUUAAAUUUAUCUAAUAUUUGUUGAGAUUAAAAAUCCUUAUUUAUGCAAAUGUGGUUGUUCUAGUAUUAAUAUAAAAUUAAAGUUAAGAUUUAGUACUAAAUCAUCAAAAAUUUGAUGUCAUCCAAAUGUAUAUCUACUUAAGCAUAACCAAAUGAUUUUUAACGUCCAACCCUUUAACCCUUUCAUUGCAAUAGACUUCAACUACUUCUCUUAACAAUAAUCAUUCUUUAGCGAAUAAUGAUAAGAAUUAUUCUCUAUCAAGAAUAAAAAUAGAAGUAACUCGUAACAUCAGCACAAUUGGACGUUUAUAGACGUCUAUAUCACACCAGAGAAUUUCUGGAGCACUUUUAGACACCGAUAGCAAUGUAAGGGUUAAACGAAUCUUUCGACGAUGAUAGUUGGCCCAGAGGUCGUCAGAUCUUUUCCCGGCACAUUAUUUUAUCCGAGAAUAGCUGUGGGCGGUCAUUCGAGGAACGGUUCACCAAGAUUUUUCUCUGCAAUGGUCGUAUAGAAUAUUUUCUGCAGUCGAGAGAACGUUUCGAGAAUGAGUGGAAGAGAAUGCGAUAUACGGGUCAUUUCUGUCGCUUUUCGUACGUGUAGACGUCUUUGGGAUAGCCAAAGAGGUUCGCGGAAACGCGUUAUCUACAAAAUUUGCCGGUAAUAUUAAUAUAUUGCGACAUUUGUUUUAAUGGUAGAUCGUACAUGCUCGAAGAGAAGAUUUUAUUGAAUUGGAAAAAUCAGGUCUCCGGUUAGAUGCGAUUUUCUAGGAAAUGUGGAUUAUUUUGUGACGUUUUUAAUAAUUAUUAUUUAAGUCAAUUUUAUUUAUGGUGUUCGUCAAAAUUUUAAUAUUGGAAGAAUUAAAUUUAUCAAAACGAUUGAUUUGUAAUUACAGAAUUGGUUAGAGUGUAUAAAAAUUUUAUACAAUUUCAAAGUAAUAUCACCUAGUAAACAAUUUGAUGAAAUUUUCUCUUCCAAAUGCGAGUGGAAUGAUCAGAGAUGAUUUUUCUAUUUUUAAAAAAAUAUCUUCACAUAAACUUUAAUUAAAUUUAUAAUUUUACAACCAUAACUUUUAGUUUUUUUAUGUCAGAGGUAAUCAAUCAAACAUAAAAUAUAUAUGUAUAAGAAAAUGAAAUAAAUUGUUAAAAAUGUGUGGAUUAAAAUAAUAAUUUCAAUCGCCUUUUUCAUACUAAUUAAAUUAAUUUAAUUUUGAUUUAAUUAAAAUUUAUAAUUUUGUAUCAAUAUCAUUUUCAGAAGUAUAUACUUACAUGAUCCUGUUCUUGUCUCACAUCGAGUUCACACAAUUUGAGUCUAAUUUACAGUUUAACACUAAUUGAACACUUGGAAGAUCAUGUUCCCUUACGUUUUCAUCUCCGCUCGUUCCACCGCGAUAUUCGCUAAGGUACUAACGAGACGUUGUUCUAAUUAAUAAUUAGCAACGAAACCAGUCUGUACAUAUUGUCUUCGCUGUCGUUUGCGAUAGUCCGUCGUGAAUUGUACAUGUAGUAGAGAACGAAUGAUCGUGUGAUUGUAAACCUUGCCAAUGCAAUUCUGCAAGAUUGAUGAAUGAAUGAGAGCGAAUGCUAAUCGUAUAUGAUAAUUAAAAAGAAAAAAAAAGAAGUCAGGAAUUAUAACGAGCGGCUCCUCGAGUUUUUUGUUCUACUGAUAACAAUAGAUGGAAUAAAGUGCGGAGAAAAAAAAAAUCGCUGGCUAAUUAGAGAAAUGGCAAUGUAAUCAUUUUCUCUCGCCCCUUUUCUUUCGAUGCAUUAUGUAUCAUUCUUGCAAUCAUGUAUGUAACUCUGACACCCACGACACGUAUCUUGUAUCAACGUAUGAUGCAUACUCAAAUGCACACGCACGAUCAAAGUCUUGCUGCUAGCCUUAUCUUGUAACACAAAGUAUCAAUAAACUGAUAAAAAGAUUA